CAAUAUCCGAGUACUCUUUGCAAGUUAUGUCAGGCAACUAGAGCGACGCUCUCGCACAUAUUGUGGGAGUGUCCUGACAAUGCAGCGAAAACGGCAGUAGCUCCAGAGGCUCAUGCGUCGAAGUGGGCCAUCGCUCUGCGCAGCUCCAACCUCAAGACGCUAAAGUGGGC
rnacentral:lncRNA from 1 species